AGAGUUUGAUCAUGGCUCAGAUUGAACGCUGGCGGCAGGCCUAACACAUGCAAGUCGAGCGGUAGCACAGAGAGCUUGCUCUCGGGUGACGAGCGGCGGACGGGUGAGUAAUGUCUGGGAAACUGCCUGAUGGAGGGGGAUAACUACUGGAAACGGUAGCUAAUACCGCAUAACGUCGCAAGACCAAAGUGGGGGACCUUCGGGCCUCAUGCCAUCAGAUGUGCCCAGAUGGGAUUAGCUAGUAGGUGGGGUAACGGCUCACCUAGGCGACGAUCCCUAGCUGGUCUGAGAGGAUGACCAGCCACACUGGAACUGAGACACGGUCCAGACUCCUACGGGAGGCAGCAGUGGGGAAUAUUGCACAAUGGGCGAAAGCCUGAUGCAGCCAUGCCGCGUGUGUGAAGAAGGCCUUCGGGUUGUAAAGCACUUUCAGCGGGGAGGAAGGCGAUAAGGUUAAUAACCUUGUCGAUUGACGUUACCCGCAGAAGAAGCACCGGCUAACUCCGUGCCAGCAGCCGCGGUAAUACGGAGGGUGCAAGCGUUAAUCGGAAUUACUGGGCGUAAAGCGCACGCAGGCGGUCUGUCAAGUCGGAUGUGAAAUCCCCGGGCUCAACCUGGGAACUGCAUUCGAAACUGGCAGGCUAGAGUCUUGUAGAGGGGGGUAGAAUUCCAGGUGUAGCGGUGAAAUGCGUAGAGAUCUGGAGGAAUACCGGUGGCGAAGGCGGCCCCCUGGACAAAGACUGACGCUCAGGUGCGAAAGCGUGGGGAGCAAACAGGAUUAGAUACCCUGGUAGUCCACGCCGUAAACGAUGUCGAUUUGGAGGUUGUGCCCUUGAGGCGUGGCUUCCGGAGCUAACGCGUUAAAUCGACCGCCUGGGGAGUACGGCCGCAAGGUUAAAACUCAAAUGAAUUGACGGGGGCCCGCACAAGCGGUGGAGCAUGUGGUUUAAUUCGAUGCAACGCGAAGAACCUUACCUGGUCUUGACAUCCACAGAACUUAGCAGAGAUGCUUUGGUGCCUUCGGGAACUGUGAGACAGGUGCUGCAUGGCUGUCGUCAGCUCGUGUUGUGAAAUGUUGGGUUAAGUCCCGCAACGAGCGCAACCCUUAUCCUUUGUUGCCAGCGGUUNGGCCGGGAACUCAAAGGAGACUGCCAGUGAUAAACUGGAGGAAGGUGGGGAUGACGUCAAGUCAUCAUGGCCCUUACGACCAGGGCUACACACGUGCUACAAUGGCAUAUACAAAGAGAAGCGACCUCGCGAGAGCAAGCGGACCUCAUAAAGUAUGUCGUAGUCCGGAUUGGAGUCUGCAACUCGACUCCAUGAAGUCGGAAUCGCUAGUAAUCGUAGAUCAGAAUGCUACGGUGAAUACGUUCCCGGGCCUUGUACACACCGCCCGUCACACCAUGGGAGUGGGUUGCAAAAGAAGUAGGUAGCUUAACCUUCGGGAGGGCGCUUACCACUUUGUGAUUCAUGACUGGGGUGAAGUCGUAACAAGGUAACCGUAGGGGAACCUGCGGUUGGAUCACCU
rnacentral:rRNA from 2 species